rnacentral:rRNA from 1 species
CCUACGGGGGGCAGCAGUGGGGAAUAUUGCACAAUGGGGGAAACCCUGAUGCAGCGACGCCGCGUGAGUGAAGAAGCGUUUCGGCGCGUAAAGCUCUGUCAGCGGGGAAGAAACACGGUUCGCGAGAGCCGCGGACGGUACCCGACCAAGAAGCCCCGGCUAACUACGUGCCAGCAGCCGCGGUAAUACGUAGGGGGCAAGCGUUAUCCGGAUUCACUGGGUGUAAAGGGAGCGUAGACGGCGAGACAAGUCUGGAGUGAAAGGCCGGGGCCCAACCCCGGGACUGCUCUGGAAACUGCCUGGCUGGAGUACAGGAGAGGUAAGUGGAAUUCCUAGUGUAGCGGUGAAAUGCGUAGAUAUUAGGAGGAACACCAGUGGCGAAGGCGGCUUACUGGACUGUAACUGACGUUGAGGCUCGAAAGCGUGGGGAGC